rnacentral:rRNA from 1 species
UCGAGAAUAUUCGUCAAUGCCCGAAAGGGUGAACGAGCGACGCCGCGUGCAGGAAGAAGGCCCUUGGGUUGUAAACUGCUUUUCUUAGGGAAGAAUGUAAUGACGGUACCUAAGGAAUAAGAGGCUACUAACUCUGUGCCAGCAGUAGCGGUAAUACAGAGGCCUCAAGCGUUAUCCGGAUUUAUUGGGCGUAAAGAGCAUGUAGGCGGAUAUAUUAGUCGGAUGUCAAAUCUUCGAGCUCAACUCGGAAACUGCAUUCGAAACGGUAUAUCUAGAGACGGUCAGAGAUCAAUGGAACGUAUGGUGUAGCAGUGAAAUGCGUUGAUAUCAUACGGAACACCAAAGGCGAAGGCAUUUGGUUGGGACUGUUCUGACGCUGAGAUGCGAAAGCGUGGGUAGC